rnacentral:rRNA from 1 species
UACGUAGGGGGCAAGCGUUGUCCGGAAUCAUUGGGCGUAAAGCGCGUGUAGGCGGCUCGAUAAGUCUGCUGUGAAAGUCCAGGGCUCAACCCUGGGAUGCCGGUGGAUACUGUCGAGCUCGAGUCCGGAAGAGGCGAGUGGAAUUCCUGGUGUAGCGGUGAAAUGCGCAGAUAUCAGGAGGAACACCGGUGGCGAAGGCGGGCAUCCUGG